GGCCAAACGGCGGAGAGGGAUCGAGCGCCGGCCCCCGUACUCACCUGGGCGGCUCUCCGGCAAGGACCGGCGGACAGCCAUACAGCGUAGCGACCUCACAGCGUCGUGACGUUGCCCAUGACGCAGCGACGCAGCUGCCGACGCCGACGCCGCAGCCGACGCGGAAUGAGAGAGAAAAAAAUAGUUCUAACUUUGAAGGUUUUGAGAGGAGAAAAAAAACCAAACAAACCCGUGACCAGGCUCCCUACUUCGACUUCCGUUUUAGUACUAAAAGCACAUUUUUAGGGACUUGAGAAAAGGUUGUCUCUUUAGCAGCUUGCCCUGGGGAACGCGAUGGCGUGGAGAAGGCUAGAUGAUUGUUGGAAUCAGUGCGCGCGGUGAAGCGACCCCCUCCUUGUUUUCAAGCGGAGCUGGCGGUGCUGGCGGUGCUGAUGGUUGCAUGGGCUGAGCCAGAAGUGCCAUGUAGGGUAUUUGCAGCGAAUGCGGGGAUUGGAAUUUGGAGAGCGGAGCUUCUGGAAGGUUCUCGAAGGGAGACAGUUGCAAGUGUAACCCUGGCCUAUAUGGAGCCACCCUGCUCCAGGCAGUUGGUGGGAUGAGCGGUGGGACUCAGCUUGCUGCCACGUGACUGACCCUUCCAUCCCUUGACCUAGAUGGAUACGGGAAUUCAAAUUUGAAAAACCUGCCUGCGCUGCGGAGAGAGAAAUGGGAUUCCUUCCUGUUUUGGUGAGGGUCCCAAGAAGCCCUACAGUCUUUGGAGUGAAGGCGUGUGAGGGGAGAUGGCGACGUGGUUAAAGAUCGAACUGGGGACCGGUUACCAAGACUUGGUGAUUGGCAUACUGCCACAUACGUCUUAGGCCUUUUAGUCGUAGAGUUAAGUGGAUCCUGCCUGAAUAUAAAAGACAGAGAAAACAGCUGCUAAGACAAGGUGCUUAUUUUAUUGUCAGAGCUAAAAUUCAAUGGUAGUUCUUUAAAAUUAAUAAGCCACUACUUUGAAAGAUCCUGUAGAUGGAAAUCUUUUCUAAAGGGCUCUUGUCUUUUAGAUGGAAAACAAAAAAAAAAAAGUGCUUCACACACGUAGAGUGUUUUAGAAAUUACCUGUAAAAGUGUUAUUCAUCCAUGUCCGUUUUUUCCCAAAGCUUUCCUUCAGAAGCUACAUUUACACUUUCGCAUCAUCACCCUAUUACCAUCCCUUCAAUGAUUUUACGUAAUUCAAAGGAGAUUUUCUAUAGAUUUAUCUUAUGUAUACUGUUUAUCCUUGAUUUACAACUACUCCUAAUAAAAAGGUGAUGAGACUA